rnacentral:tRNA from 1 species
CUGCUGCGUGAAGCUUGGCUUGCGCCGUUGCCGACGCUGCCAGCUUUUUGCUGCUGGCUAGCGCCACGUAGCAGG